rnacentral:rRNA from 1 species
GAUGAACGCUGGCGGCGUGCCUAAUACGUGCAAGUCGAGCGAACAGAUGAGGAGCUUGCUCCUCUGACGUUAGCGGCGGACGGGUGAGUAACACGUGGAUAACCUACCUAUAAGACUGGGAUAACUUCGGGAAACCGGAGCUAAUACCGGAUAAUAUAUUGAACCGCAUGGUUCAAUAGUGAAAGACGGUUUUGCUGUCACUUAUAGAUGGAUCCGCGCCGCAUUAGCUAGUUGGUAAGGUAACGGCUUACCAAGGCAACGAUGCGUAGCCGACCUGAGAGGGUGAUCGGCCACACUGGAACUGAGACACGGUCCAGACUCCUACGGGAGGCAGCAGUAGGGACUCUUCCGCAAUGGGCGAAAGCCUGACGGAGCAACGCCGCGUGAGUGAUGAAGGUCUUCGGAUCGUAAAACUCUGUUAUUAGGGAAGAACAAAUGUGUAAGUAACUAUGCACGUCUUGACGGUACCUAAUCAGAAAGCCACGGCUAACUACGUG